rnacentral:rRNA from 1 species
CACAAACGGUGGAGCAUGUGGGUUAAUUUGAUGCAACGGGAAGAACCUUACCUAGGUUUGACAUGGACGUGGUACCCGGGGAGAAAGCUUUGGGGACCCGCAAGGGAGCGUUCACAGGUGCUGCAUGGCUGUCGUCAGCUCGUGUCGUGAGAUGUUCGGUUAAGUCCGGCAACAAGCGCAACCCUCGCCUUCAGUUACCAACNAGUAAAGUCGGGGACUCUGGAGGGACUAACCCGUUAGGGUGGGAAGGUGGGGAUGACCUCAAGUCACUAUGGCCCUUACAUCUAGGGCUGCACACGUGCUACAAUGCCUGGUACAAAAGGAACCAAUACCGCNAGGUGGAGGAAAUCCCUAAAGCCAGGCCCAGUUCAGAUUGGAGUCUGCAACUCCACUCCAUGAAGCCGGAAUCGCUAGUAAUGGUAGAUCACGUACGCUACCG